UCGAGCGAUCUUCUUCGGAAGAGAGCGGCGGACGGGUGAGUAACGCGUGGGUAACCUGCCUUGUACAGGGGGAUAACAGUUGGAAACGGCUGCUAAUACCGCAUAAGCGCACGGCAUCGCAUGAUGCAGUGUGAAAACUCCGGUGGUAUAAGAUGGCCUCGCGUCUGAUUAGCUAGUUGGUGAGGUAACGGCCCACCAAGGCGACGAUCAGUAGCCGGACUGAGAGGUUGACCGGCCACAUUGGGACUGAGAUACGGCCCAGACUCC
rnacentral:rRNA from 1 species